rnacentral:tRNA from 1 species
GGUCCUGUUGCCCGAUGGAUAAGGCGCCGGUCUACGGAACCGGAGAGUCCAGGUUCGUCCCUGGCAGGAUCA